rnacentral:lncRNA from 1 species
AUUGUUGGCAAUAGGUAUUAAGAAAGUUAAAUUGAUAAUUUGUGAGUAUUGGUAUGUUUGUGAAGUUAGGCCAAAUAAUGCAUAUAUGAGUUUGGUCAUUUUGAUGUUUGAAGUAAUUGAUUUAUGGUAUAUAUAUGAAUGCUUUGGAAAUGUGAAUUGUCAUGAUUUGAGUAGGCAAAGUAAGGUGUUGAAAGUAUGUUAGAUGUUGGUAUUGGAA